rnacentral:rRNA from 1 species
UACGGAGGGGGCUAGCGUUGUUCGGAAUUACUGGGCGUAAAGCGCACGUAGGCGGCCUGGUAAGUUAGAGGUGAAAGCCUGGAGCUCAACUCCAGAAUUGCCUUUAAGACUGCCGAGCUAGCAGGUGAGAGAGGUGAGUGGAAUUCCGAGUGUAGAGGUGAAAUUCGUAGAUAUUCGGAAGAACACCAGUGGCGAAGGCGGCUCACUGGACCGGUAUUGACGCUGAGGUGCGAAAGCUAGGGGAGCAAACGGG